UACAGAGGUGGCAAGCGUUGUUCGGAAUUACUGGGCGUAAAGGGCGCGUAGGCGGCCUUCUAAGUCAGACGUGAAAUCCCCCGGCUUAACCUGGGAACUGCGUCUGAUACUGGAGGGCUUGAGUAUGGGAGAGGGAUGUAGAAUUCCAGGUGUAGCGGUGAAAUGCGUAGAUAUCUGGAGGAACACCGAUGGCGAAGGCAGGUCUCUGGGCCACUACUGACGCUGAGAAGCGAAAGCAUGGGGAGCGAACAGG
rnacentral:rRNA from 1 species